rnacentral:lncRNA from 1 species
GAAACUUCUAGGGACCAUUGAUAUGUUCAUUGUCUUUUUUUUUAAAAGAUUGGUCCUGAGCUAACACCUGUUGCCAAUCUUCCUUUUUUUCUUUUUUCCUUCUCUCCAAAGCCCCUCAGUACAUAGUUGUAUAGUCUAGUUGUAGGUCCUUCUAGUUGAGCUGUGUGGGAUGCUGCCUCAGCAUGGUUUGAUGAGCAAUGCUAUGUCUGCACCCAGGAUUCAAACUGGUGAAAUGCCAACCAAGGGGAGCCCGUGAACUUAACCACUUGCCACCACUGGCCGCUGUUCAUUAUCUUAAUUGUGGUAACGAAUUCAUAUGUUAAUAUCUAUACAGUAAGGGUAAGAUGUCCAAGCUUUCUUCGCUGACUGAAGAAGAGGAGAAUGCCUCCUACCCUCUCUUCCUCAGGUUUUCUCCUGAAAAAGGCAAUAGACUCAAGAAAAGAUUUUAACUUUUAAUCUUGCAAUUCAAGGUCAUGAGCCACUGAUCCUUCGACUGCUAAAUACCUACCUCUAAGAUGAACUUAGAAGUCCUUCAAGAGGGGAGUUCAAGACAAUCACAAGGUGGCAAAUGUGGUAGUAGAGAAGCUGAGCUGUAUGAACCCAGGCAAGCUAGAUUCACACUGUGUUUACAGAUUAAUUUGGAGAGCAUCGUCAUCUUUCUGAUAUAGAGGGGCAUCGGAUAUAGAAGUGGCUACCAAUAUGGCAGCCGUGAGGCACAUGUGGUUAUUCAGCACUUGAAAUGUGGCUAGCCUAAAUUGAGAGAUGCUGUAUGUAUAAAAUACAAGCCAGAUUCGGAUUUCAAAGACAUGGUUUAAAAAAGUUUUCUAAAAUAUGCAACUAAUAUAUUAGCAUACUGAUUACAUGUUGAAAUUAUAUUAUGACAGUAUUAAGUUAAAUAAAAUGUUAAAAUUAAUUUCA